GAGAGUCUCCGGACUAUGUGAAGCGUUAGCCACAAGUCAAUUAGGGCCAAGGCCCAUGUACCCCCUUCUAUGCCUAAACUACCCCUCCUUAGUGGCUCCCUAUAUAUAGGCUCCCACCUCCCCCUUCAUUAGGGAAGGAAUGAACUUGAGAGAACCUAGGCUCAUGCCUCCACCAUCCCUUUGGGAUUAGGGAAACCCCCUCCUUAGAUUAUCCAAAUCUAUUGUACAAGGCACUCCUUAUAUGAUUAGUCUCUCACACUUGUGAUUCUACCACCGGUCUCUCACUCGUGUGAUUCCACCGAUCGUAUACCGAUCUUCCUCUCGGGGAUUCUACCGCGUGUCUCUCCCUUGAGAGAUUCUAUCGGGAUAGUGGUUCGGGCUAUCGGGAGUAAACCGGAUUGUAUCGGGUUGUGUUGCGUGCGUUCGCGUGUGUUCAUCGUGUUCUUCGCCGUGUUCUUCGUGUUCUUCCUCUCCCCCGCCUUUCCCUCGGUCAAUUCGUGAGAUCGGGCAACCCACGUGGCCUUAGGCCGCAUCAUAUGGUAAUCAGAGCCAGAGAUACCUCAUCAUAUGGUAUCAGAGCAAAGGUUGCCACGAAUUUGACCACAAAUCUCUCCAAUUUUCGCCCAAAAAAUUUCCCCAAAAAUUGCCCCAAAAAAUAGCUCGAAAAUUGAUCUCCGAAUUUGUUGCGUUUU